AGUGCAUGCGGCGGAUGCCUUGGCGAUCACAGGCGAAGAAAGACGCGGCAGCCUGCGAAAAGCUGCGGGGAGCUGGCAAACGAGCUUUGAUCCGCAGAUAUCUGAAUGGGGGAACCCACACCGCAAGGUGUAUCCGUAGCUGAAUACAUAGGUUACGGAGGCGAACGAGGAGAACUGAAACAUCUAAGUAUCCUCAGGAAAAGAAAUCAACCGAGAUUCCGGCAGUAGCGGCGAGCGAACCCGGAGGAGCCCAGCUUUUGAUAGUACGAACUUUAGCCGAAAGGUCCUGGAAAGGCCUGCUAUAGUGGGUGAUAGCCCCGUAGGCGAAAGAGUUGGUACGGUACUAAGGAAGCGAGAAGUAGAGCGGGACACGUGGAAUCCUGUUCGAAGACGGGGGGACCAUCCUCCAAGGCUAAAUACUCGUGAUCGACCGAUAGUGAACCAGUACCGUGAGGGAAAGGCGAAAAGAACCCCGGGAGGGGAGUGAAAUAGAACCUGAAACCGCAUGCAUACAAACAGUAGGAGCCUCGUCAGAGGUGACUGCGUACCUUUUGCAUAAUGGGUCAGCGACUUACAUUCUGUGGCGAGCUUAACCGAAUAGGGGAGGCGCAGCGAAAGCGAGUUCGAAAUGAGCGUUCAGUCGCAGGGUGUAGACCCGAAACCAGAUGAGCUAUCCAUGGCCAGGUUGAAGGUGUGGUAACACACACUGGAGGACCGAACCGACUAGUGUUGCAAAAUUAGCGGAUGAGCUGUGGAUAGGGGUGAAAGGCCAAACAAAUCUGGAGAUAGCUGGUUCUCCCCGAAAACUAUUGAGGUAGUGCCUCGUGUGUCGCUCCAGGGGGUAGAGCACUGUUUUGGCUAGGGGGACAUGGAGUCUUACCAAACCAAGGCAAACUCCGAAUACCUGGAAGCGUGAGCACGGGAGACAGAGCACCGGGUGCUAACGUCCGGACUCAAAAGGGAAACAACCCAGACCGCCGGCUAAGGUCCCAAAUAACAGCUAAGUGGAAAACGAAGUGGAAAGGCCGUGACAACCAGGAAGUUGGCUUAGAAGCAGCCAUCCUUCAAAGAAAGCGUAAUAGCUCACUGGUCGAGUCCUUCUGCGCGGAAGAUGUAACGGGGCUAAGCUGUUAACCGAAGCCGCGGAUGCGCUGGUUAUCCAGUGCGUGGUAGGGGAGCGUUCUGUAAGUCUGCGAAGGCGGUUCGAGAGGACUGCUGGAGAUAUCAGAAGUGCGAAUGCUGACAUGAGUAACGUUAAAGCAGGUGAAAAGCCUGCUCGCCGUAAGCCCAAGGAUUCCUGCUCUACGUUCAUCGGAGCAGGGUGAGUCGGCUCCUAAGGUCAGGCCGAAAGGCGUAGCCGAUGGGAAUCAGGUUAAUAUUCCUGAACCUGCGUCAGAUGCGAUGGGGGGACGGAGCAUGGAAGAUCAUCCGGGUGUUGGAAGUCCCGGUUGUUUAGCGUAGGAGGUCUGCAGGCAAAUCCGCAGACGCAUCUCCAAGGCAAAGACACGUGCCGCCACGGCGGCGAAGUGAUCGGAAGUGCUUCCAAGAAAAGCCUCUAAGCUUCAGUCUGAUGCGGACCGUACCGCAAACCGACACUGGUGGGCGAGCUGAAUAUGCUCAGGCGCUUGAGAGAACUCGGGAGAAGGAACUCGGCAAAUUGACACCGUAACUUCGGAAGAAGGUGUGCCGUAGUACCGUGAGAGGAGAGACACCUUGAGCGGGAAACGGUCUCAGAGAAUAGGUGGCUGCGACUGUUUAUUAAAAACACAGCACUCUGCAAAGUCGAAAGACGACGUAUAGGGUGUGAUGCCUGCCCGGUGCUGGAAGAUUAAUUGAUGGGGUGAGAGCCCUUGAUCGAAGUCCCAGUAAACGGCGGCCGUAACUAUAACGGUCCUAAGGUAGCGAAAUUCCUUGUCGGGUAAGUUCCGACCUGCACGAAUGGCAUAACGAUGGCCACACUGUCUCCUCCCGAGACUCAGUGAAGUUGAAAUGUUUGUGAUGAUGCAAUCUACCCGCGGCUAGACGGAAAGACCCCGUGAACCUUUACUGCAGCUUUGCAUUGAACUGUGAACCGAUUUGUGUAGGAUAGGUGGGAGGCAGAGAAGAGGCCACGCCAGUGGCCUUGGAGCCGACCUUGAAAUACCACCCUGAUUUGUUUGCGGUUCUAACCACGGACAGUGAUCCUGUCUUGGGACCGUGCAUGGUAGGCAGUUUGACUGGGGCGGUCUCCUCCUAAAGGGUAACGGAGGAGUACGAAGGUACGCUAGGUACGGUCGGAAAUCGUGCUGAUAGUGCAAUGGCAAAAGCGUGCUUGACUGCGAGAGCAACAACUCGAGCAGAUGCGAAAGCAGGUCAUAGUGAUCCGGUGGCUCUGAAUGGAAGGGCCAUCGCUCAACGGAUAAAAGGUACUCCGGGGAUAACAGGC
rnacentral:rRNA from 1 species